AUUUUGUUCUACGACCAAAACUGACAAAGUUAUGGGCAAAAUACCAAACAAGGUUUACUGACCGCGCAAACGCAAGCGAUGACGUCACAAUAUCUCAACGCUUGCCGCUGAACCACAGCGCGCCCCGCGCUGUUUAUUCUGUUCGCGAUACUCGUCCAACACGGAGCGUAACGUCACCAGUUUAUACCCAAUCGAUUAAUAAGUGAUUUGAUUUGUUUAAUAUUAUAAUAUAACAAAUCAGUGGUAGAAAUAAGGUAGAUAUCGGUUUUGAGCAAGCGCAAUCCGAUAAUCUACCUAAAUGGUAUUUGAUUAUCUUAGUAAUCAUUUAAACUACACAAGCGCUGAAAUUCGUGGUUGGAAACUUCAGAGGUCAGGGCGUGAAUCAUAUGGUGAUGAAGCUGUGGGAUUUGUUCAAGUGCAAAAAACAGGAGAUAUAUCACACACAUAUAUAGCACAGUCAAAGCAAAAAUUACACCAGAACAUAAAAUAAAAGGUAAAGCUUAUUGCUGCAUUUACUUGUGAUGAAACACAAGAAAUAAUACUAAACAUUGAGUGUCAUGAUUGUGCUGCUCAACUGGGAGGUUGUAAGCACGGUGUAGCAUUUCUUAUGUGGCUUCACAGACGAAGCGAGAAACCAUCCCCAACAGAAAAAAAUGUUAUUGGACUAAGCCUAAAUUAGCUACAGUGGGCACCACUUUAAAAUUUAUAAAGGCUAAAGAUAUGGGAUCAGGCACACCAAAAAAUCAAGAUGACAGUUACGUCAAAGGUCAAUUUGUAGAAGCUGUAAAAAAAACGGUACCAGAACAAUCUAUAUAUAUAUCAUACCCAGCUGGCAGCCUAUUGCGUACCACAAAGCGCGUUAAAAAAAUGUCAUUACAUGUAUUAAUAAGUGAGUUUAGAAAAGAGGGUAUAGAUAUAAACGAUGCAGCUCAUUUUAUUGACUUCUGCUCAAGUCGGAUGACUAUAGAUGACUGUAGCAAAGCAGAAGAAGCAACAUUAUCGCAAGCUGAUUCACCAUUAUGGAGGGAACUAAGAUACUGCAGAGUAACGGCGUCAAAAUUCACGAAACUGCAAACUGCAAGACUGAUGGUGUUUUAGGUGAACAGAUUUUCGGGGCAUCCAUACAGGAGACAGUCGCUAUGGAAAGAGGAAAACGUCUUGUAAAAAUAUUCGCAAAGAGUUUUAAAAAAAGGCGUAAAAUACGUCUAGCGGUUUUCGCGUGAGAAGCGUUCAACAGACAGACAAGAAAUUCAAAAACAAUAUUUUUGGUUUCUAUUGCGUGUAUGGAGCUCUCAUAACUCGAUUAUUCAAAAAAAUAUUCAAUGUAUAGAAUUCACUUUGACUACAGUUUUAUUACCUACAGAUACAUAUUCCCCAAAGCGGGAAUGUUCCGGCAUUGGGAAAUAUUCCCGGGAACGGCACAUUUCAUUUAGUUGAGCCUCAGUACGACCCUGGGUUUUACCAGACUACUGAGGAAGGGUCAUUAGAAAUUUCACUACUUACACUUUUUAUCAUUUAUUUAUUCAUUGAAAUAUACCUAGUACGACCCUGUAUUUUUCUUUAACAUUCGUAAACAAGUUUUACUAAGAUACUGUUUACCACAUGAGUAAUGUAAGGUGUACUGUCACCCCUCUUCAUGACAGUACACCAUUUUUUGCGCACUUUCAGGUCCCUUGGCACAUUAAAAAACAGUUUUUCAGGUGUACUAG